AGCAGCCGCGGUAAUUCCAGCUCCAAUAGCGUAUAUUAAAGUUGUUGCAGUUAAAAAGCUCGUAGUUGAAUUUCGGGGUUCUUCCGUUGGUCGGGCUAUCCAGUCUGUACUAGCGCGUAGAAUUCCUACCUUCUGGGGAACCAUCAUGUUAUUAAUUUAGCGUGGUGGGAAACCAGAACCUUUACCUUGAAAAAAUUAGAGUGUUCAAAGCAGGCUUACGUCUGAAUACAUUAGCAUGGAAUAAUAGAAUAGGACGGUGGUCCUGUUUUGUUGGUUUCUGAAUCACCGUAAUGAUUAAUAGGGAUAGUUGGGGGCAUUAGUAUUCAAUUGUCAGAGGUGAAAUUCUUGGAUUUAUUGAAGACUAACUUCUGCGAAAGCAUUUGCCAAGGAUGUUUUCAUUAAUCAAGAACGAAAGUUAGGGGAUCGAAGACGAUCAGAUACCGUCGUAGUCUUAACCAUAAACUAUGCCGACUAGGGAUCGGACGAUGUUAAAUUUUAUUGACUGUUCGGCGCCUUACGG
rnacentral:rRNA from 1 species